rnacentral:sRNA from 1 species
AAACUCUUCCUAGGGUUCUUUCUAGAGUACGGCAAGUUGUCAAAUUCCCUAGUUGAAUUUGCUUUGGACAUCAGUGUGAAGCAGAACUGAUAUGCCACUUGAAUUAAUAAAGGAAGUCAAUGGGGUGCCUGAAGUUCAGCCACUGAGUAAAUUACAUAAAGUAGAUUUCGGAUCCCUACAGCCAGGUUACAAUUAUAGCAAGAAAUAUAUUCAGGGAAAACUUUCACUUAUCUCUUCUUUAACUUAUCGUGGAAAUAAAACAGCUGUUUUGCAGAUUGGACUACAAGGACACCAUUGCAGUGGCUAGAUUUAUUGUUUUUUUAGCUUCUUCAUCUACAAGCAGAGAUGGUAAACCUUGCAUAUUUUUGAAAGCAUUUGAAGACCUCAAAUCAACUGUUUAUGUUUAUGUCAAAUCUUUAAGAGAUUUUUCUACAGAAUCAAUGUCUUUGAUGCUCCUUGAUUUACAAUGAAGUUACAUCCAGUGUACCCAUCAUAAGUCAAAAAUUUCAUUAAUACAAAAUGUAUUAAAUUGCCUAAUAGACCCAUUCUAAAGUCAGAAGAUUGUUCCAG